rnacentral:rRNA from 2 species
GCUUAUGCGUUGUUGGGUAGGGGAGCGUUCUGUAAGCCUGCGAAGGUGGCCUGUGAGGGUUGCUGGAGGUAUCAGAAGUGCGAAUGCUGACAUAAGUAACGAUAAAGCGGGUGAAAAGCCCGCUCGCCGGAAGACCAAGGGUUCCUGUCCAACGUUAAUCGGGGCAGGGUGAGUCGACCCCUAAGGCGAGGCCGAAAGGCGUAGUCGAUGGGAAACGGGUUAAUAUUCCCGUACUUGGUGUUACUGCGAAGGGGGGACGGAGAAGGCUAUGUUGGCCGGGCGACGGUUGUCCCGGUUUAAGCGUGUAGGUGUGUGUUCCAGGUAAAUCCGGUUCACUUUAACACUGAGGCGUGACGACGAGGCACUACGGUGCUGAAGCAACAAAUGCCCUGCUUCCAGGAAAAGCCUCUAAGCAUCAGGUAACAUCAAAUCGUACCCCAAACCGACACAGGUGGUCAGGUAGAGAAUACCAAGGCGCUUGAGAGAACUCGGGUGAAGGAACUAGGCAAAAUGGUGCCGUAACUUCGGGAGAAGGCACGCUGACAC